CUGGGCAAGAUUCACCGUGACCGGCCUUCUUUAAUACACCGGGCCUAGCAUCGCUUCUUGAAACAAUGCAAAACGUGGAUAGGCCACCUAUAAGCGCAAUACCAGCUACCAGGCCUUAGGUUUCAGUUACAGAAUACGGCAUUCAGCCAAGUUGGUCUUGCGGCAGUCCGUAAGUAUGUGAUGAUCAGCUGGAAUUUGGAGCAUGACAGCGCAUGUACUGCUGUAGUGCCAGAGCUUUAUUCAGUAUUAGCAAAUAUAAAUUUUAUCAAUACGGUUUACAUUUAUUAAGUUAAAAUCUUCACUACUAUGUUGCUUAGGUGAUUUCCAAUAUAGUUCAUUUUUUAGAAUUA
rnacentral:lncRNA from 1 species